UGACAAUUUUUCUUCAAUCACAAUAUUUUAUAAGUAGUUUGUUAAAUAUUCAAUUUAAGAAAAUUAUUAAGUAUGUGAUUUAUUGGCAGACUGGUGCAAACGCCAAGGACGAUCUACUACUUUCUUUUAUAAUUAAACUUCUUGCUGCGCGGAGUAACUCUAAAGGAUUUAAACGUUUAAUUCCCCUAUCUCAUGAGGUAGCAAAACUUUUCUCGUGGAAGGGAACUGGUACCAAAAGCAGCGCUAUUGGUU